rnacentral:tRNA from 1 species
GAAUAUCGUAGCUCAGUUGGCAGAGCAUUGGACUAGUAUUCCAAAGGUCGUGGGUUCGAUUCCCACCGUGGUCA